GGAGAGGUCGCAUAGUGGUCGAGUGCCCGGGUUUGCUAAACCCGUAGGGGCGUAAGCCCCUCGAGGGUUCGAAUCCCUCCCUCUCCG
rnacentral:tRNA from 1 species